rnacentral:lncRNA from 1 species
AGAGCACUCCUAACCCCCCGGGGCAAGGAGGGGAGGCCAGGCAGCCGGAAGGAAACUCCUGAGCUUUUUACGGAAUGCACAAGACAAAAGGUGAGGGUCUCCACGUAGGGAAAGAACGCAUUAUUAUUUACGGCCUUGGUCUGGAGAGGAGAACAUGCUGCUCUUUGCAGCCCGGCGUGUGAUUCAUUUCCCCCGGGAGCUGCAGGGCCGAGGCAGGGCGUGCGCUCCGGCAGCCUCCAGACAGCCGCGCACUCCCGCCCGCUCGUUUAUUUAUGGUGCUUUAUCAGCGGCUGUGCACCGCGGCGAUAAAGUUUAUGAAAAGAGGCGGCGUCUCCGGCCGGCGGGCUGGGCCCGGCGCUCCUUUCCCACACUGAUUAGGAUCAGCCAGGGCUUUGGAAGCUGCAGUUAAGGAUCUCGGGUGCCCGGAGCCUCGGCUCCCCCUUCCUGCCCCGCCCGCGGGCUGGCCGGCUGCUGGCCCGCGUGGGAGGCGAGGUCAGGGCUGCGGCCGCGGCCCUUCCCCUGGGAGCGGGAGGGAGGAGGGAGGAGGAGGAGAGAAGCCGCCCUGCGGGGGAGGGAGCUCCAAGGCCCCGGGAAGUGGGACAGCCAGAGAAAAAUACCGUCCAAAUAUAAAUGGGCAAGUCCCCACGUUAAGAGAUGAACGAGAAUUUUUUAUUUUUUGAGACAGAGUCUCGCUCUGUUGUCCGGGUUGGAGUGCAGUGGUGAGAUCUUGGCUCACUGCAACCUCCGCCUCCGGGGUUCAAGGGAUUCUCCAGCGUCAGCCUCCCGAGUAGCUGGGAUUACAAGCGCCUGCCACCAGGCCUGGCUAAUUUUUGUAUUUUUAGUAGAGAUGGGGUUUCACCAUGUUGGUCAGGCUGGUCUCGAACUCCUGACCUCAGGUGAUCCACCCAACUCGGCCUCCCAAAGUGCUGAGAUUACAGGCGGAACAGGAAUUUAAUAGGAAUUUUUCUCCUCUGAAGGCGGUGCACCGUCUCCUCUCCCCCAUUUACUUUCCUACAUUCCUUUCUCCUUUCCCGUCAUUUCACCUGCAUUUACUGUGUCUUUGCAUUAAGGCUUGAUUCAUUUUGUCCCUUUUCAUAGCCAUGUUUUGUUCAGUCCUUCAGAAGAUAGAAAUUGAACACCUGACUUGUGGACAGCACCUCUAAACACUGCAGAGAGAGAUUCAGAGAUGAAUAGCCCUGGCCCUUAGGGUUCUUGCGGUCACAAGCACCGUCCAGUAAGAGCAGCCCAUGGUUAUGAGUAACAAGAGCAGACACUACGGCAGGCACUUGGUUUAGGGACAUUGCCUUGUUUCAUCCUCACGGUGACUUCAGGAGGACAGUGCCAUCGUUACGCCGUUUAACAGAUGGUAAAACUGAGGCCCAGAGAGGGGAGUGCCUUGCUUCAGAUGACUCAGCAACGCAGUGGCUGAGCAAGGAUUUGAACUCAGGCAGAAUGGUGGCAGAGCCUGUUUGCCUAACUUCUAAAUUUCCCUAACUCUCUAGAACAGAGGGUAGUAGGAGUGCAGCAGACAGGACAACUAACCCUGCCUGGAAAAGUCAUGGUGGGCUUCCCGGAGGAGGCGUCCUUAGGCUGGGGCUUGAAGACGAGGUAUUUACCAGACAAAUAGUGGAGAAGAAGGCUGUCUUAAACAGAAAAAACUUCUUAUGUGGUCCUGGGUUCUGAGGGCCCAGCUCUUCUCACCCUCCUUCUCCGAGGAGUGGGGGAACGGAAGUGCAGAGCCUUCGUGUUUUACCCUCCUUCUCCGAGGAGUGGGGAACGGAAGUGCAGAGCCUUUAUGUUUUGUGACAGUGGAAUCCCCUUCGCGGGCCACCUCCUCGAUCUGAAAGGCUCUAUCUGCAGCUACUGAAUUCCCUUCAGCUCGUAAGUCUUAAUAGCAAUGUCAUCCCCUUCUGAAAACUUUCCUGGACUGCUCCUUAUCUUGCUGCCGGUGAUUGAAAGCAAUCCUUUCCUCUCUCUUCCCUCACACCUGCCUGUUUGCAUUAAAGUUCUUGAGUUGGACUCCAUCAGUCUUUAUUUUUUAUUUGUUUAAUUUAUUUUUUAGAGACAGGGUCUCACAAUGUCACCCAGGCUGGAGAGCCGUGGCAUGAUAAUGGCUUACUGCAGCCUCAUCCUCCUGGCCUCAAGCAAUCCUCCUGCCUCAGCCUGCCAAGUAACUAGGACUACAGGUGUGUGCCACCAUGCCUGGCUAAUUUUAUUUUAUUUUUUUGAGACAGAGUCUUGCUCUGUAGCCCAGUCUGGAGUGCAAUGGCGUCAUCUCGGCUCACUGCAAGCUCCGCCUCCUGGGUUCAAGCGAUUCUCCUGUCUCAGCCUCCAGAGUAGCUGGGAUUACAGGCGUGUGCCACCAUGCCCAGCUAAUUUUUGUAUUUUUAGUAGAGAGGGGGUUUCACCAUGUUGGCCAGGCUGGUCUCGAACUCCUGACCUCAGGUGAUCUGCCUUCCUCAGCCUCCCAAACUGUUGGGAUUACAGGCGUGAGCCGCUGCACCUGGCCUCUGGCUAAUUUAAAAAAAUUUUUUGGCCAGACACGGUGGCUUCCAUCUUUAAUACCGGCACUUCAGGAGGCCAAGGCAGGAGAUUUGCUUGAGCCCAGUAGUUUGAGACCAGUCUGGGCAACAUAAGAAGACCCCCAUCUCUACAAAAAAAAAAAUAAAUAAAAAAAAAAAAAAUAAGCCAGGCAUGGUGGCGCUCGUCUGUGGUCCCAGCUAAUACGGAGGUUAAGGUGCAAGGAUUGCAUGAGCCUGGGAGGUCAAGGCUGCAGUGAACUCUGAUCACAUUCCAGCCUGUGACUGUACUCCAGCCUGAGUGACAGAGCAAGACCCUGUCUCAAAAUAAAUAAAUACAUACAUACAUAAAUAAAUAAGUUUAAUUUAAAAAUAAAUUUAUUUCUGUAGAGAUGGGUCUCACUCUUUUGCCCAGGCUGGUCUUGAACUCCUGGCCUCAAGUGAUUCUCCCAAGUUGACCCCCCAAAGUGCUGGAAUUAUAGGCAUAAGCCACUGCACCCAGCCCAUUAGUGUUUAUUACUAGACUGUGAGUUCCUGGAGAGCACUGGUAUACUCAUUUGCUUCUUACUUGCUUCUGCCCAGGCUGGUUUAGUAUCCUACUCAUAGAAGGUUCUUAGUAACCGCAUUUGGUGAAUAAAUGGAGGAGAGUGGGAAGGCUGUGAUCGAAUAGGUAUCUCUUGUCUCCUCUUUACCCCUUGAUAAAUUUCACAAUCAAGCAAGCUAAAAAUGGAGAUGUGUGUCUCCACCAGACAAGGUCUGGACCACUCUCUGCCAAGACAGCACGAAGAGCAGGACACUGCCAGCAACCAGGUGGGUUGAGACAGAGUAACCCAAGCUGCUAGCCCGUCAAAUCUCUCCAGACUGGGAACAGGAUUAGUCCUGGGGCUUGGGUCUAGCAUUGAGUCAACAAGCGGAAGUCAUGUUGCCCUAGUUAUUGGGGAGAGGGCUGUGAGGGCCAGGAACCAGGCAGGUCACUGCAUAGUCCAUCUUGAAUUCAGUGAGGCAUUCCAUAGGGCCAAUGACACAGGAGACAUUUGACACCAUAGGGUAUAAUAUCAACUCUAGGCAGCCGUCAGGGCCAGUGCCCAGGGGAUCAGGGCUGUGUCUUUUUCUUUGUUAUUUUUUGUUUGUUUGUUUAGAGCUAGUUUUUAAAAAGUUUAAUUGAAAAAGUAAUACAUGCACAUGAUCUAAAAAUUAAAAUGAUUCAAAAACGUAUACAGUGAACGUUCUGCCUCCCACCAUCAACUUCUCAACUCAUCUCCUUCCGCAGGUGCAGCCGUCAUUAAAAGUUUCUUUUCCCAGAGAUGCUACAUGCAUGCAUAUGCAAUAUUUCUAUUUUUUCUUAUGAUGACUUAAUGAGGCUGUUGUGAACUGAAUACAGUUGCAGGUGUUGAUGACAUUGUUACAGUUGUUGGCACUCUGGAAAAGGGAUAUAAGGCCCAUUGAACUUGAGAACUAGAAGACUACUCUUGCACAUUCUGAAUGACAUUCAGUAAUUAAAAGUGUGGAGUAAUAAAAUUUGGAUAUCUCAAAUAUUACCUGGAAAAAGGCUAGUCUGACUCAAGGGUGGUGGAAAAAUGAUCUAAGGAUGCACGGUUAGUCACAAAUGAUAUAGGAAAUGUUAGGCCAUUGUAGUAAGUGCCAGUACACUGUCAAGAUGGAUGGUAAGGAGCAUAACUGAUAGAGAUCUGGAAAUUAUUUGUUGGGUCGAUUCUUGUUAAAGUAUUCGUAAAUGUCCGACUUGUUGGUUACUGUGUGUACACUGGUAGAGACAAAUAAGGUAACUUCUAGUUGAACAGAGGACCAAAAUGCACUCAUAUAAUGGCGAAAUAAAGGGUGCGUUUAAUAAACCAGUUGAUGGAACGAGCAUCAUUCAAUCUAGGGAAGAAAAGGCUAAGAGAUGACUCACUUAUUGAAGUACAUGGUAAAGUAACUUGAGUUUCCCCAGGCCUCACCACCUGAGUAGGGAUGAUCUUCUGAGGGGCACUGUACCCGGAGCCUGCCCGCAGCAAAGGACUCCCAGCUGUCUGGACUGCCUCUGGGUUGUCCUGGGAGUUCCCAGGGGCCUGCUCCUGCCGGGCACCCUCUGGCACCCUGGAGUGAAAGCUCUGGGGAAUCUGGGGGGAAAAAAAAGAUUAUUCAACCCUCUUCCCUCUGUGUGAGCUUUCAGUCCCAAAGCUCUACCAUCUGUGCUCUGAUUUCCUGAAAGACCUCAGCAAGAUGGUCUUUCCCAAUUUCCCUUUUGGUCCUGCUGCUCUUCACAGAACUCGGAUAUGUCUGGCCGAGGGACGCUCAGAAUGAACUGCUCUUCCCCUCCAAAGAGCAGGACUGUUUGACUGGGGUAGGGCCUGGCGGGUCUCCUUCCCUACAGAGCGAGUCCCUCCCCACCCCCGGAGGCUUCUUGGCCUUGGUUCACACUGGGACCUAGGUUCCCUCUAAUCGUAACUAGCGAGUAUUCAGUUGUUUUGAAAAAAUAUUCUAAUCGAUUGUUCUAUAAGGAAGGUCAACCAAGAGGCCAUGGAUAUAAACAAUAACAGGGAAGAUUUAGUGAGUGGAAAGGAGGGACGAUGUUAAGGAAAGUUACUCCUGUGCCCUGAGGGAAAGUGCACGGUCUUUCUUGAAUAGUUUAGAAAUAGGUCCUGGAGCUUUUCAAGCUCAGCCCUUGGUAUUCUGAGGUGGACUGAGGCGUUCCACCUUGAAAAUCAAAUAGUAGUGGUCUUUUCCCUAACUCAGGUAAUAUAAUUUUUCCAUGUAAAUUUUUUCCAUGCAUGUUCUUCCAUUUUAAACCUUUAGCACCUGCAGGCAACAAAACUAAUGAAGAAGUAGUAAACAGAUAUGAAUGGGAAAGCUUGAAAACCACCAAUCAUGCUGAGUUUGUGGCUUUUUUUUUUUUAAAGAACAUGUGUGCUUGUGGUUUUAUACUGUCUGCUCAUAAUGCAGCCAUAUUUUCUGCUAUUAAAAUUGUUCUUAGUUCAUGGGAUGGAAUGAAGCAGACCAUUAUUCCAGGGUGUUCCCGGAAGAGCCUCAGGUUUCAGGAAGCACACUUCGACUUUUAGUUCUCCACCACCUGAGUACACUUGAGUGCUGCUGUUGUAGACUCUGGAGUAUUCGUUUCCUUUCCUUUCCCUCCUCCCUCUGCUGUUCAUAUCAUGGCCCAGAUUGACUCCCAACCUCUGCCAGGCUAAAGAUAACCUCUCCAACUGGGCGAUUACCCACAGGCUAAAUAUAUUCUCAGGGGUGAGUUGGGGCUACCCUGACAGUGACUCCAGGCAAGCAUUUAACCACUCAUGGCAUUAAGUCAUCUUAGGAGAUGGAAGGAGCUUGGGAGGGGGGAGGGAUUACCACAGAAGGAUGGGGAGGGGUAGGAAUGAAAGAGGCAGAGAGCGAUGGAUAGGAAGCUGGCAAAGGCGCUUCCGAUAAAGGAGGACACGCUGUGCCACAUGGUGACUCCAGCAGAAGCUCAGUCAGUCUGCGGAUUUGGCUGCUCCUAGCAAAGACUCCUUUUCUGUCCGUUACAAUGUUACUUUAAUAGAACUCCCAGAGGGAAAAGCCCAGUGCUAAUCAGGGCUCAAGAAGUCAGUGGACUUGAUGUACAGAAUGGGGUGUUUAAUUUUAUGAUGUGGCUAUGGGUUACAUGAGAGACUAAUAAAAGAACUCCAUAAAAUGUGGCUUGCAGGAACGGGGCUGCAGCCUCUGCCAGAAGGUCAGCCUGCUCAGAAGUGGUUGGAGAGCCAGGCUGAUUUCUAGCUGGUGUGGCCACUCUGGCUCUUCAACUGUUGAAAGCCUUCUGAACCGGUUGGUAACUGGCUGCUGCUCUUAGCUUCUCAAGCACAGCCCUGCUGCACUGGCUGCCCGGCCCCCACCCUGGAACCUCCCCACAAUCCAGUAAGCAGAUGCAGAGGACCUGCAGAUCCUGCUCUGUGUCAUGUCUCUGGUGUCACAACAUUUCUGAGUGGCUAGUGCUUCUGUAUCUCUGGUUAAUACUUUAAAUAUCACCUGUCCUACAAUAUGUCUUCCUUGGGAUUUGUUCCUUCAAAUACCUGUGGAGCAGACCAGGACACAGUUCCGUAAAACUCUCCUUAACUGAUCCCAGGCCAGUCCAGGGUGCUCCAAGGAGGCUUUCUUGGGUCAGGGAGGCCUGCUGCUCUCAUGGUCGCCACAAGGACCCACUCAACCUUUCCCUUGAGUCAUAGUUGGCUGCCUCAAAGGAGAGUUUUAAUAGGCACAGGAAUGACAUCAGGGUUGAAGAAUAUUUUUGGAAGGAAGAGGCAAAUUUGCGUAAGAUUUCUGAACCAGGAAUUGCAUCUGUCAUAGAGUUUGAAUUAGAGGGAUGCUCAGAGCACAUCUGGUCUCUCUUCAUAGCCAGCACGGAACUCCUCCGUAUCGCCUCUGACAGGAGAUAGCCAGCCCCUUCUAGGCCAUGCCCACUGAUAGGGAAUUCAGCUCUUUGAAAGGAAGCCUCUUGUGUGAACCAGCAGGAGCUGAAAUCUUCCUAAACAAAUCCUUUUGUGAAUCCUUUUGUUGAGCUGAAAUCUUCCUAUACAACUCAAAUUUUGACGCCUCACCUAGAUGGAAUUGCAAAUCCAAAGACGGCCCAAGAGUAAGCAAUGACAGCUACUAAUGUGUCUGAUUUUAUCAAGUGAACCGAGAGGCUGUGAGAUCAUUCAUUCAGCCAGUUUCCCGAGUGGCUGCUAAGUGCUGGUGCCUGGUGCUGGAGACUCAGCAGGCACCUGGAAAUGGUUCUUCUCUGAGAGACUGUCCAGCCUCUUUAAGCCAGCACUAGACAACUGGGGACACCUGGGAAAUCAGAGGGGUCUAACCUUUGCUUCUGGAGCCAGUUCCAGGCUGGGGUCCAUCCUUGGGCGGGGGCCGUCCUGGGUGACUCUGGGCAGGAAGCUUCUGUCUGUGCUCCUCCUUUUCUCUACCGGUUACUAACAGCCUGGUGAGCCUGCUGAGAGCGUGGGGCUCUCAAGGUGGGCUCUCAUUGACAGACACUGAGACGAAGAGGUGGAGUUGCCAUCUCCCUCCUCACACCCUCUGAAAAUACCUGUAAGAGUCAAAUGACAUUUUGUAAUGCAUUUUGCUGAAUUAACAAUUGAACAGGCUCUUUUGUCUUUCAUAAACAAGAAAUAUUACACAAUUUAGAUAAGAAAAAGGCGGACAAUAAAAGUAUUUAUAACUUCAUCAUCUACAGGUAACAAUUUGGUGUUCGUCCAUGCCAACAUUUUUCUGAGUAUAUGUGAUAUAUCCGUGUAUGUGGGAGAUACACACACACACACACACACACGUGCUUUGUAAUCUGCCCUUUUCACCCAGUUGUUUUCCCAAUGAACACAAUUUUAAAGUGAAUCUAAUUGUUCAAGGAUCUGUCAUUAAUGC